AGUUUUAUAGUUUAUUAUAAAAUAUUAAAUUGCAAAUUUAAAGAUAAAUUAGUUUUAAGACUU
rnacentral:tRNA from 1 species